rnacentral:rRNA from 1 species
UACGUAGGGGGCAAGCGUUGUCCGGAAUCAUUGGGCGUAAAGAGCGUGUAGGCGGUCCGGUAAGUCGGCUGUGAAAGUCCAGGGCUCAACCCUGGGAUGCCGGUCGAUACUGCCGGACUAGAGUUCGGAAGGGGCGAGUGGAAUUCCCGGUGUAGCGGUGAAAUGUGUAGAGAUCGGGAGGAACACCGGUGGCGAAGGCGGGUCUCUGGGCAUCUCCUGACGCUGAGGCGCGAAAGCGUGGGGAGCAAACGGG